rnacentral:lncRNA from 1 species
CUUUCAUUGGCUUAUAAACCCGUCCUUUAAACCACUAUUUGGGAGGUCGGGCCAUCAGUUUCGGCGUUUUUUCCAGAGAGGCAGGCUCACAGCGAUAUCGCGAGAGACGGGAAUUGCUCUGUCACGCAAGCUGGAGUGCAGUGGUGCCAUCUCGGCUCACUGUGACCUCUGCCUCCUGGGCUCAAGCCAUCCUCCCACCUCAGCCCUUCAAGUAGCUGGGAUUACAGGUCACCAUCCUCUCACUCGCCUCUGACUUUUCG